rnacentral:rRNA from 1 species
AUGCAGAGUGAGGCGGGGAAUGGGAGCGCGGGCAGGAGGGUUGGGGAGCGCGACAGGCCAAAUCCGCCCCGCCGCCACCUUCCUGGGGCCUGGCGCCUCCAUCAUUCGGGGGGAGGGGGAUGGAGAAUGGAGAAUUGCUAA